UGGGGAAUAUUGCACAAUGGGCGCAAGCCUGAUGCAGCCAUGCCGCGUGUAUGAAGAAGGCCUUCGGGUUGUAAAGUACUUUCAGCGAGGGGGAAGGCGUUGUGGUUAAUAACCGCAACGAUUGACGUUACUCGCAGAAGAAGCACCGGCUAACUCCGUGCCAGCAGCCGCGGUAAUACGGAGGGUGCAAGCGUUAAUCGGAAUUACUGGGCGUAAAGCGCACGCAGGCGGUCUGUCAAGUCGGAUGUGAAAUCCCCGGGCUCAACCUGGGAACUGCAUCCGAAACUGGCAGGCUAGAGUCUUGUAGAGGGGGGUAGAAUUCCAGGUGUAGCGGUGAAAUGCGUAGAGAUCUGGAGGAAUACCGGUGGCGAAGGCGGCCCCCUGGACAAAGACUGACGCUCAGGUGCGAAAGCGUGGGGAGCAAACA
rnacentral:rRNA from 1 species